rnacentral:rRNA from 1 species
AAAUUGAAGAGUUUGAUCAUGGCUCAGAUUGAACGCUGGCGGCAGGCCUAACACAUGCAAGUCGAACGGUAACAGGAAGAAGCUUGCUUCUUUGCUGACGAGUGGCGGACGGGUGAGUAAUGUCUGGGAAACUGCCUGAUGGAGGGGGAUAACUACUGGAAACGGUAGCUAAUACCGCAUAACGUCGCAAGACCAAAGAGGGGGACCUUCGGGCCUCUUGCCAUCGGAUGUGCCCAGAUGGGAUUAGCUAGUAGGUGGGGUAACGGCUCACCUAGGCGACGAUCCCUAGCUGGUCUGAGAGGAUGACCAGCCACACUGGAACUGAGACACGGUCCAGACUCCUACGGGAGGCAGCAGUGGGGAAUAUUGCACAAUGGGCGCAAGCCUGAUGCAGCCAUGCCGCGUGUAUGAAGAAGGCCUUCGGGUUGUAAAGUACUUUCAGCGGGGAGGAAGGGAGUAAAGUUAAUACCUUUGCUCAUUGACGUUACCCGCAGAAGAAGCACCGGCUAACUCCGUGCCAGCAGCCGCGGUAAUACGGAGGGUGCAAGCGUUAAUCGGAAUUACUGGGCGUAAAGCGCACGCAGGCGGUUUGUUAAGUCAGAUGUGAAAUCCCCGGGCUCAACCUGGGAACUGCAUCUGAUACUGGCAAGCUUGAGUCUCGUAGAGGGGGUAGAAUUCCAGGUGUAGCGGUGAAAUGCGUAGAGAUCUGGAGGAAUACCGGUGGCGAAGGCGGCCCCCUGGACGAAGACUGACGCUCAGGUGCGAAAGCGUGGGGAGCAAACAGGAUUAGAUACCCUGGUAGUCCACGCCGUAAACGAUGUCGACUUGGAGGUUGUGCCCUUGAGGCGUGGCUUCCGGAGCUAACGCGUUAAGUCGACCGCCUGGGGAGUACGGCCGCAAGGUUAAAACUCAAAUGAAUUGACGGGGGCCCGCACAAGCGGUGGAGCAUGUGGUUUAAUUCGAUGCAACGCGAAGAACCUUACCUGGUCUUGACAUCCACGGAAGUUUUCAGAGAUGAGAAUGUGCCUUCGGGAACCGUGAGACAGGUGCUGCAUGGCUGUCGUCAGCUCGUGUUGUGAAAUGUUGGGUUAAGUCCCGCAACGAGCGCAACCCUUAUCCUUUGUUGCCAGCGGUCCGGCCGGGAACUCAAAGGAGACUGCCAGUGAUAAACUGGAGGAAGGUGGGGAUGACGUCAAGUCAUCAUGGCCCUUACGACCAGGGCUACACACGUGCUACAAUGGCGCAUACAAAGAGAAGCGAACUCGCGAGAGCAAGCGGACCUCAUAAAGUGCGUCGUAGUCCGGAUUGGAGUCUGCAACUCGACUCCAUGAAGUCGGAAUCGCUAGUAAUCGUGGAUCAGAAUGCCACGGUGAAUACGUUCCCGGGCCUUGUACACACCGCCCGUCACACCAUGGGAGUGGGUUGCAAAAGAAGUAGGUAGCUUAACCUUCGGGAGGGCGCUUACCACUUUGUGAUUCAUGACUGGGGUGAAGUCGUAACAAGGUAACCGUAGGGGAACCUGCGGUUGGAUCACCUCCUUACCUUAAAGAA